CACGUAGUUAGCCGGAGCUUCUUCUGCAGGUACCGUCUAUGUCUUCCCUGCUGAAAGCGGUUUACAACCCGAAGGCCUUCGUCCCGCACGCGGCGUUGCUGCGUCAGGGUUUCCCCCAUUGCGCAAAAUUCCCCACUGCUGCCUCCCGUAGGAGUCCGGGCCGUAUCUCAGUCCCAAUGUGGCCGGUCGACCUCUCAGUCCGGCUACCCAUCGCGGGCACGGUGGGCCGUUACCCCGCCGUCUACCUAAUGGGCCCGCGACCCCAUCCCGCGCCGUUAAGGCUUUCCCGGGGAGGCCAUGGGGCCUCCCCGGAGCAUCCGGUAUUAGCCGCCGUUUCCAGCGGUUGUCCCGGAGCGCGGGGCAGGUUGGCACGUGUUACUCACCCGUUCGCCCACUCUAUAUCGUGGCCGAAGCCUAGUUUAAUCGUUCACUUGCAUGUGUUAAGCACGCCGCCAGCGUUCAUCCUGACGCCAGGGAUCAAAACUCUA
rnacentral:rRNA from 1 species